UGCGUAGGCGGUCGGGUAAGUCUGACGUGAAAUCUUCAAGCUCAACUUGGAAACUGCGUCGGAUACUAUUCGGCUGGAGGAAUGGAGGGGAGACUGGAAUACUUGGUGUAGCAGUGAAAUGCGUAGAUAUCAAGUGGAACACCAGUGGCGAAGGCGAGUCUCUGGACAUUUCCUGACGCUGAGGCAAGACAGGGAGGCGAAAC
rnacentral:rRNA from 1 species